rnacentral:rRNA from 1 species
AGCAGCCGCGGUAAUUCCAGCUCCAAUAGCGUAUAUUAAAGUUGUUGCAGUUAAAAAGCUCGUAGUUGAAUUUCGGGAUCAAUUAGUUGGUCAUGCCGUUGGUAUGUACUGAUUUUAUUGAUUUCUCACCUUCUAAAGAACCUUAAUGUCAUUAAUUUGAUGUUUUGGGGAAUUAGGACUGUUACCUUGAAAAAUUAGAGUGUUUAAAGCAGGCUCACGCUUGAAUACAUUAGCAUGGAAUAAUGAAAUAGGACAUCCGAUUCUAUUUUGUUGGUUUCUAGGAUCGAUGUAAUGAUUAAUAGGGAUAGUUGGGGGCAUUAGUAUUCAAUUGUCAGAGGUGAAAUUCUUGGAUUUAUUGAAGACUAACUACUGCGAAAGCAUUUGCCAAGGAUUGUUUUCAUUAAUCA